rnacentral:rRNA from 1 species
UGUUUUGAGAGUUUGAUCCUGGCUCAGGAUGAACGCUGGCGGCGUGGAUAAGGCAUGCAAGUCGAAUGGGUUUAGACCCAUGGCAAACGGGUUCGGAUAACAUAGGAAUCUACCUCAGAGUCGCGGAUAAUCUGGAGAAAUCCAGGCUAAUACGCGAUACGCUCUACGGAGUAAAGAUUUAUCGCUUUGAGAGGAGCCUGUGUCCUAUCAGCUUGUUGGUGAGGUAAUAGCUCACCAAGGCUAUGACGGGUAGGGGGUGUGAGAGCAUGACCCCCAACAUUGGAACUGAGACACUGUCCAAACACCUACGGGUGGCUGCAGUCGAGAAUAUUCCACAAUGGACGAAAGUCUGAUGGAGCGACGCCGCGUGCGGGAUGAAGGCCUUCGGGUUGUAAACCGCUUUUUUCAGGGAGCAAUUACGAUGAGAGUACCUGAAGAAUAAGAGGUUACUAACUCUGUGCCAGCAGUAGCGGUAAUACAGAGACCUCAAGCGUUAUCCGGAUUUAUUGGGCGUAAAGCGUAGGUAGGCGGGUAUGUUAGUCGGAUGUCAAAGACCGGGGCUCAACCCCGGGAAGGCAUACGAAACGGCAUAUCUAGAGAAUGUGAGAGAUCGGUGGAAUUCAUGGUGUAGUAGUGAAAUGCGUUGAUAUCAUGAGGAACACCCAAGGCGUAGGCAACCGAUUGGCACAUUUCUGACGCUGAGCUACGAAAGCGUGGGUAGCGAAUGGGAUUAGAUACCCCAGUAGUCCACGCCCUAAACGAUGCAUACUAGGUGCAGGGAGAAUCGACCCUUUCUGUGCCGUAGCUAACGCGUUAAGUAUGCCGCCUGGGAAGUACGAGCGCAAGCUUAAAACUCAAAGGAAUAGACGGGGAUCCGCACAAGUGGUGGAGCAUGUGGUUUAAUUCGACGGUAAGCGAGGCACCUCACCAAGGUUUGAAAUCUAGCUGCAGAGCCCAGAAAUGGGAUGUCCUUCGAGGGUGCUAGACCAGGUGCUGCAUGGUUGUCGUCAGCUCGUGUCGUAAGAUGUUCCGUUCAGUCGGGAAACGAGCGCAACCCCUAUGAAGUGUUACAUGUGUCACUUCAGACUGCCCCCUCAAAAGGGUAGAAUAGGGAAUAGAGAAUAAUGAAUGUAGUGUGAAUGCAAAUGCAAUCCCUAUAUUCUAUGUUCCAUAUUCAAUAUUCUAAGUUUUUGAGGGGGAGGAAGGCGGGGAUGACGUCAAAUCAGCAUGGCCCUUUGACACCUUGGGCUACACACGUGCUACAAUGGCCGAUAAUAAAGGGUUGCCAACCAGCAAUGGGGAGCCAAUCUCAAAAACUCGGUCUCAGUUCGGAUUGCAGGCUGCAACUCGCCUGCAUGAAGCUGGAAUCACUAGUAAUCGUGAAUCAGCCACGUCACGGUGAAUGCGUUCUCGGAUCUUGUACUCACCGCCCGUCACACCAAGAGAGCCGGCAAUACCAGAAGGCCCCGGGUUAAAUCGGGGACGACGGUAGGGUUGGUAAUAAGGGUGAAGUCGUAACAAGGCAUCCGUAGCGGAAGCUGUGGAUGAAUCACCUCCUUU